AUUGAACGCUGGCGGCAGGCCUAACACAUGCAAGUCGAGCGGAUGAAGGGAGCUUGCUCCUGGAUUCAGCGGCGGACGGGUGAGUAAUGCCUAGGAAUCUGCCUGGUAGUGGGGGAUAACGUCCGGAAACGGGCGCUAAUACCGCAUACGUCCUGAGGGGGAAAGUGGGGGAUCUUCGGACCUCACGCUAUAGGAUGAGCCUAGGUCGGAUUAGCUAGUUGGUGGGGUAAAGGCCUACCAAGGCGACGAUCCGUAACUGGUCUGAGAGGAUGAUCAGUCACACUGGAACUGAGACACGGUCCAGACUCCUACGGGAGGCAGCAGUGGGGAAUAUUGGACAAUGGGCGAAAGCCUGAUCCAGCCAUGCCGCGUGUGUGAAGAAGGUCUUCGGAUUGUAAAGCACUUUAAGUUGGGAGGAAGGGCAGUAAGUUAAUACCUUGCUGUUUUGACGUUACCAACAGAAUAAGCACCGGCUAACUUCGUG
rnacentral:rRNA from 1 species